rnacentral:rRNA from 1 species
CCUACGAGAGGCAGCAGUGAGGACUAUUGGUCAAUGGACGCAAGUCUGAACCAGCCAUGCCGCGUGCAGGAUGACGGCUCUAUGAGUUGUAAACUGCUUUUGUACGAGGGUAAACCCCGAUACGUGUAUCGGGUUGAAAGUAUCGUACGAAUAAGGAUCGGCUAACUCCGUGCCAGCAGCCGCGGUAAUACGGAGGAUCCGAGCGUUAUCCGGAUUUCUUGGGUUUAAAGGGUGCGUAGGCGGUUUGAUAAGUUAGAGGUGAAAUGUCGGGGCUCAACCCCGAAACUGCCUCUAAUACUGUUUGACUAGAGAAUAGUUGCGGUAGGCGGAAUGUAUGGUGUAGCGGUGAAAUGCUUAGAGAGCAUACAGAACACCGAUUGCGAAGGCAGCUUACCAAACUAUAUCUGACGUUGAGGCACGAAAGCGUGGGUAGCAAACAGGAUUAGAUACCCCUGUAGUC